rnacentral:tRNA from 1 species
GCUAGCGUAGCUCAGCUGGUAGAGCAGCGCAUUCGUAAUGCGCAGGCCACCGGUUCGAUCCCGGUCGCUAGCUCAA